rnacentral:rRNA from 1 species
UACACAUGCAGUCGAACGGUAACAGGAAGCAGCUUGCUGCUUUGCUGACGAGUGGCGGACGGGUGAGUAAUGUCUGGGAAACUGCCUGAUGGAGGGGGAUAACUACUGGAAACGGUGGCUAAUACCGCAUAACGUCGCAAGACCAAAGAGGGGGACCUUCGGGCCUCUUGCCAUCAAAUGUGCCCAGAUGGGAUUAGCUUGUUGGUGAGGUAACGGCUCACCAAGGCGACGAUCCCUAGCUGGUCUGAGAGGAUGACCAGCCACACUGGAACUGAGACACGGUCCAGACUCCUACGGGAGGCAGCAGUGGGGAAUAUUGCACAAUGGGCGCAAGCCUGAUGCAGCCAUGCCGCGUGUAUGAAGAAGGCCUUCGGGUUGUAAAGUACUUUCAGCGGGGAGGAAGGUGUUGUGGUUA